AUUUUGUCCCGGCAGCAGUGGUCGCAGCUCUAUCGCAUUUUAUGUUCCUGGCUGGAGGAAGCGGAGUUUUCAGCCGGUAGAUUUAUUUUAAUGUGGCGCCCAUUCAACGUUCGCUCCGGGACAGCACUCAAUGAAGACCGGUGGAGUCUCAGAGCUUUUGAAAAGUUGGUUGAAGACAACAUAUCAGUGGCAAACAGCUCAAGUAUGAUAGAGAAUAAGACUGAUUUUCUGGGGAAAUGAAGCUAUGUAUCCCAGUUUUGAAAGGCUUGAAUCUGCUGGGUCUUGAAAAAUCCCAUUUCUGGUCCCUUUAGGAGUGACAGAAAUAAAAACAGAUGGAUCAUCUCAUCAGAUAAGUUAUUUUACAUUCUAAAUAUAUUAUGUUGGAAACUCUAAACCAGAACUUUGUUCUUUAAAAAUUAUGUUUUGUUUUUGUUUUUUAAGGUACCAGUAUCAAGAUGAUUUACAGCAAUAAGGUAUUCAGUCUUAAACAUUGUAUUCAUGUCAAAGUAAAACAUAUCAGCUUUUUUUYCUGGAGGCUUGCCAUUUCUCAAUGAUAUGAUUACAGAAUGGCCCUACCRUUAAACCUACAUUAAUAAUGAAAAUCUCUCAUUUUUCUUUCAUAAUAGAUAUCAAAUUAAGUUUAGAUUAAUCCAGUAUCACAGUAAAUUUAUAUUUCUCUAGUACCAGUGUCUUCUCUUAUAGAGGGUUAUUAGCUGUACUGAUAGGAAUUUAAGAACAGUUAAGCCCACAGAAUAGAAAGUGAAGUUUUAGGACUGGCCCUAGUUGACUGAGGGAGAGUCAAUUUCUGUCUGAAAAUAGAUCCAGUUUAGUAUUAUUUGGGCAUUUGUCCAAGGCCAACACUUAUCACUUUCUGCUAAGAAUGAUUUGUAAAAUAUAGCAGGAAUCCAUACUAUGGAAUUCAUGGUAUCAAAAUACUGGUUUUGAGUUGUUAAAUAUUCAGGUAUAAUUAUAUGCUAUUUAAACUACAAAGAUGCUCAAAGCCCAGCAAUACCCUGCAGCUAAACUCUCAGUGACUAGAUUACCUUCUUAGGAAAGCAAUAACAGUUGAAUGGAGUGAUGCUGGCAUGAACUCAAUUUAGGGUGUGUAUACUUGGCCUGAGUUCAGAUUGUUCCUGCUCUUAGUAGUGCUGUUCAGAGCACAUUUGUAAUUCUUUCAGGCCACAGUUCUGAUUUUUGUAAAGACAGAAAGUGACAAAACAGAAAUCCUUAACUUACCACAAUAAAAGGAAAAAAGCAAAAAUAUUUUUUUGACUUCUCAGAUAGUCUCUUUCUAAAAAAUUGAAAACAUCUUUCUUACACCUAAAAGUCAAAACUGGCUGAUGACCAGUAUAAAAGAACCAAACAGACUGAAUUCAUCUUAUUCCAAAGACUCAUUUUACAGUAUUCUAAGGAAU